UAGAGUUUGAUCCUGGCUCAGAACGAACGCUGGCGGCAGGCUUAACACAUGCAAGUCGAACGCAUCCUUCGGGGUGAGUGGCAGACGGGUGAGUAACGCGUGGGAACGUGCCCUUCAGUUCGGAAUAACCCAGGGAAACUUGGGCUAAGACCGGAUACGUGCGAGAGCAGAAAGAUUUAUCGCUGAAGGAUCGGCCCGCGUCUGAUUAGCUAGUUGGUGGGGUAAUGGCCCACCAAGGCGACGAUCAGUAGCUGGUCUGAGAGGAUGAUCAGCCACAUUGGGACUGAGACACGGCCCAAACUCCUACGGGAGGCAGCAGUGGGGAAUAUUGGACAAUGGGCGCAAGCCUGAUCCAGCCAUGCCGCGUGAGUGAUGAAGGCCUUAGGGUUGUAAAGCUCUUUCGUCCGGGACGAUAAUGACGGUACCGGAAGAAGAAGCCCCGGCUAACUUCGUGCCAGCAGCCGCGGUAAUACGAAGGGGGCUAGCGUUGUUCGGAAUCACUGGGCGUAAAGGGCGCGUAGGCGGCUUUGUAAGUCGGGGGUGAAAGCCUGUGGCUCAACCACAGAAUUGCCUUCGAUACUGCAUGGCUUGAGACCGGAAGAGGUUAGUGGAACUGCGAGUGUAGAGGUGAAAUUCGUAGAUAUUCGCAAGAACACCAGUGGCGAAGGCGGCUGACUGGUCCGGUUCUGACGCUGAGGCGCGAAAGCGUGGGGAGCAAACAGGAUUAGAUACCCUGGUAGUCCACGCCGUAACGAUGAAUGCCAGCCGUUGGCGAGCUUGCUCGUCAGUGGCGCAGCUAACGCUUUAAGCAUUCCGCCUGGGGAGUACGGUCGCAAGAUUAAAACUCAAAGGAAUUGACGGGGGCCCGCACAAGCGGUGGAGCAUGUGGUUUAAUUCGA
rnacentral:rRNA from 1 species